UCCAUGUGAUAUUAGUGAUUAAAAAAGAGAAAAAAAGAAAUAAAAAGAGUUAAUUAGUUGGUUAAAAGAAGUAAACAAAAUGGUAGAAACCAAAGAAGUGUGAUGAUUGAGAUUGGCAAUGGAAGACACUUUGCCUUGAAGACCUUUGUAAUUACGGUAAAUUUGCCAUUAGUGAUUAAAUAAGAAAAAAUAUAAUUAAUAGAUGUUGUAUUAAUUGUAGUUUAUGAUUAUGUUGAUCAGUUACAAUAGAUAACAAUUUGUUAAUAGAAUUAGAAAUAAAUUUUAAAAUGGAUUAAAUUUCUUGAAGUCACAGACAUAAUUAGAAGAUUUUCCCUAACCCUUUGUUUGCAUAAUCGCGCCCCUUUUGUUGAAGUGUGAAAUUAAUGAAAGCAUUUAUUUUCAUGUUUACUCAUCUAUUACACUCGUCUUGAUAAUAAUUAAUUUUCUACUUAUGUUUAAUUUGAUUCUGAUUAUCAUGGUAUUCACCAACUAUCAGGGUAUUCAAAGGUGUGGUAUUUCUGGUUGAAAUAAAUCUAGAUACUUCUGUUCGUUUUAUAUCUUCUGGUACAAUCUUUGUUAUGUAAUGGAUACUGGAAAGCGAUCUUUUGGUUGCAGUUUACUGUUCAAUGGAUUUGGUUUUUGAUUCAUUUUUUUUCUUAUUCAUGUAAGUUAUAAUUGUAAUUAAAUGUGAUUAACUAGUGAAACUAAUUUUACAUCUACAACAUGUGAGUUGAACAUCUUAAGGAUUCUGAAUUGGCUAAUUGGAUGGAGUAACAAGCUUCAUUAUUUGGAACCAAUGGAAGUAUCAAAGUGAUUAAUUGAUGUUUGUUUGUGCCAUAAAUUAUUUUCUUGGAUCAUCUACACUGGCAAAUACUCUUUCCUCUUGAAUUACACUGGCUAAUGUUGAAUCAGGAAUUACUUGGUCUUUCCAAAAUUUGUCUCAUCCAUUGAUGAGUCAAACUCUGUCAGCUGAUGUAAUCUUACCGAUUUACCAGUUUUAUGACUUGAUUUCCUAUUUUGAUAUAAAAUAUUUGGCUCGACUAUCAAUUUCCAUCUUAACGAUAAGUUGAACUCUUAUUUGACCAUAAUAUUGUUACUAAUUUCUGGAUACCCAAGUAGCCUUUCACCCAACUCUCUUAAAUUCCUGUUCAAUCUUAUCUACACCUCGCAAGAUUUGGGAACUUGAGUUGGCCAGUCAAAAUCUAUUUAUAGCUUCUAUCAAGUAAUCUGACUCUCUGAAUGGGUUAAUUCUCAAGAGUUUCUUCAAUUUCUUGCCCUGAUUAAUGUAAUGUUUUUAUCUUACAUUCAACCGUUAAGGUUGGUUAAAUAUCUAUCUCAAUAAGCUGCUCGUGAAUAAAUAUGCUAAUCGAAUGAAAUGUCUAUUGAAAAGUUCAAAGGGUUAAAGUACAAGCAUGCAGCAUUGCUUUCUGUGUGGUUAACAUGUCGUAUUUCAUCAUUAAUCUUGGUCAAGUUAAUGAUAGAAAAUUGAAUGGCAAUAAACGGAUAAACCUGAACGCUCACAUACACGCACACCAAAACCAACAAAAAGAUAAAGCAAAAGAGUCAAAUCAAUCAAAGUAAAGUCCAACCAAAGUAAAAUGAGGUACAAAAUCCAGGGGACAAGCAAAGACAAGCAAAAAGGCAAUCAGUUAAAAUAAUGUUUCUAUCAUUGUCUAACUAAAGUCAAGACAUAAAUGUAUACACAUGGAUAGGAAAGUAAACAAAACUGUGAUAACUGUCAACAAAUCUUGAAUGAACUGUAAGAAUUAAUUUACAGUUAAUAUUGAAAUGUUGAAACUCUUCAACAACGUCAUCCUCGCUAUCAAUCAUGAAGGAGCAAAAGUAAACACAGCCAAUAAUAAUAAUAAUGGUUACAACAAGAAAAAAAAGACAUUCAACUCUGACUGCAAAAAAAUAUACAAGUCAACAUACAAUGGAGGAGAAAAUUUUUAUUAAAUCGUCUCAACAGAUUAAAUGAGAUUUACCCAUUUUGAAUAAAUACAUUUGGUAAACAUUUGGAUUCACCAAAUUUGAUUUCAUAUUGAACCUGCUGAUUAUGUGUACAUUCAACUCAAACAUGGGAAAUGUAUUUUUCACCAUUAUUUUUGACCAUGAUUGGCUUUAGUUGACUCUCAUCUUUUACCCAUUUAACCUCUAAUAUCCGGUAAUCACGCUAUCGAAUGACUUUAAUAAUGUUUGGUAAAUAGCUUCAACACAAUCUAAAUACACAUUACCUUAAGUUGGUUAAAAUCUUUCUCAUGAAAAUAGCUGAAAAUAAUGAACAAGGAAAUGAGAAUGAAAAUAAAGAUAAAGGCAUAAUAUGAAAUCAAGGCAAGGAACAACAAAAAACAUUGCAAAGACUCCCAAAGUAAUCAGUAAUGGACAAAUUUUUGGAGGUUUUACCUGAUGUACCGAAACAAGGGCCAACAGCGUUUAAUCAUUCAAUUAAACGCAAGAUUAUCUUAAUCUAUUGAUUUAUUGUGGAAACAGUUAUUAUCGUUAAGUUUUCUAUCACCAUUAACUUGAUUAUAAUCACAAUGUUAUUUUCCCUGUUAUAAUAAUAACUUACAAAUAUUUUUUGUUUUCAUAAACAUCAUAUAAACCAAGAACAUGAGGAUGCUCAAUUAGUUUCAUUAUUGCAAUUUCACGUUCAACCUGGAAAGAGAAGGAAACAAAAAGGAAAAUGAUUAGCAAUUCAAUUUCAACAAUUUACUGUUAAAUUUAACGAUUUGGCUCAGCGAAACACCAAUCAGUGAUGGAUAACCAAGCAAAGAUUGAACAAAGACCAAACAUCAAAAACAUUAACAUUCAGAUGUAUUGAUUAAUUUAAUUUGGCAACAUUAAUCGUGUUCGAUGGCAUUCAGAGAAAUGUUUCGUUAAACUUCAAGUUAACCUCAUGGAAUUGAUAAAUCACUACUUAUUUAAUGAACAUGAUUCAAGUCAACUUGUCAUUCCCAUGAUGGACAUCCAACAAUAGAUUUGACGAUUUGUAAUGAUUAAGAUGAUGAAUAUAAAUGAUUCAGAGAUUGCGUGACUCCAACUUGCUGAACAGUGUUCAAAUCUUUCAUCGACUUGGAUAAUUCUUAAUUGUCAGAGAACUCGAUUGGCAAUGAUAACUGAAGCAGCAGAAACAAGAGGCUCAAGUAAAUACCAAUUGUGGAUAAAAUGAAAAGUUGAAUGAACUAACGUUAACCUGAACAAGCCAAACAAACCCAAGACUAACAAUGGUAAUUGGAAAAUUUGAACACAAUCAAUUUUUAUUGAAAAGGCGCAAAAUCGCAAUGAAACAUUCCUGUAAAAAUCAAGAAUAAUCAGGCCAAUUAAAGGUUGAUCAAUUUCGAGGAUUAUUUAGUCUUGGAUUGCAACCAGUUCACAUUGUGAUAAUUGAAAACAGCUCUUGAUCUCAAUUUUGCGAAAUUUAAUAGAGUCAAUAAUAAUGUUGAUUUAAAUAUCAAACAACAUUGAAGAGCUUUUUAUUUAAUCAAUUGAAAUUUAUGUAAAGCAACCCUUCAACGUUGAUCAACUAUUCACUUGCUAUUAGAGAUGCUUGAGAAGUCUUGAAAAAAAAUCAACACAAGUUGAGUGAAAUCAUAUUAUUUAUCAAAUUUUAAUAAAAUGUCAUCUUCUCGCGAUUGUUUUGCUUCACUUGGAAAUGUUUUUCAUAAUGAAUCUUGAUUUUUCAAUGUGAAAAGUAAAUUAAAUUUGAAAUGAAAUUGUAAUGAAAUAAGGCAAAUUUUCGUUAAUAUCUCAUUAUUAUAGAUACAUUAUUAAUAGAAGUGAAUGUUUGUAGAGUUGAUUGUAAAUUGGAUUCAAGUUGGCUGUUGAAAUGAAAAUAAUGAAGCAUGUUGAUCUUUGAUCUAAUGAUGAUUGACACUGUUGGACAAAAUAAUUAUCAAGUGGUCAACAAGGUUGAUGAAUCAAUUUACACUGACAUCUACUUUUAAGGCCUAAUGUUGUUCAUUGGCUAUUCAAUGUUAUUAAUAAUGAAAAGGAAUGAAAUAUAAUGGUGAAGAAGAAAAUAGACAGAAAAAAGGAGAAAGAUGACAAAUUCAGUGGACAUGAGUAUUGAAAGAUUUAAUAUUCAGAGUUAACAUGGGAAACUGGUUUGAGUUACAACGGGAUGGUGUUCAUGUAAAGGGUUGCAGGUUUUACUGUCUGUUCAUGUUGAAGGACGUUUACAAUGAGAUUGCUUAUAAGAUGGAUGAAAAGAUGAGAAAUGAUGAUGAAAUUGGGUGAGAAACUGUAAGAUCUAGAUAAUGUUGAAACUAAGUUACUUGAUUCGUUUCGUCAACGAUCGAUAGAAUCGAUUGGCAAAAUAACAACGGAAUAGAUGAAGAGAGAAGAAGAAGGAAAAAGAAGAAGAUGAGAAUUAUUUUGACGGAUUCCUAAAACUGGUUAACAGGCAAAAAUAAAGAAAUAAGAAGAUAACUGAAUGUUGUUACGUCUUUCAGGGUAAAUAUGGACCUUUUUAUAUUAUCUUUCAUUCCCCUUCAAUCUAAUAAAUCUUGAUCAUAUCAAUUCCCAACUGGAUGACGUUUCUUUCCUCUUCAUCAUUG